rnacentral:rRNA from 1 species
ACGCUCGACACCUACGGGAGGCGGCAGUGGGGAAUAUUGCACAAUGGGGGAAACCCUGAUGCAGCGACGCCGCGUGGAGGAAGAAGGUCUUCGGAUUGUAAACUCCUGUUGUUGGGGAAAAAGAGGAUGGUACCCAACAAGGAAGUGACGGCUAACUACGUGCCAGCAGCAGCGGUAAUCUGAGCGGGCUGGCAAGGC